rnacentral:rRNA from 1 species
AAAAAUAAUUUAUGAUAUUAAUUAUUAUAUGUGUAUAUUUUUUUCACUAAUUUUUUUGAGGAUAAGCUCAAAAAAAAGUUAAGAAUUUUGUGACUAAAUUUACUGUAUAGGUUUAAAAUUGGCCACUACAAAAGUUUUUUAUAAAAUAGUAACCUUAGUUUUGUAAAUAAAUAUAAUUUAAACUAACUUCUUACAGGGACAAAAGUUUUGACUUAAAUAAGCUUUAUGCCUAUGCUAGAAUGAGUAUUAAAACUUAAUUACAAGAGAUUUAUUUAUGUCUUCUUUAAAAUUUUUUUAAAAAAUUAAUUAAUUAGAAGGAACUCGGCAAAUUUAGUUGUUCCGCCUGUUUAUCAAAAACAUCGCUCUUUGAUUAUACAAAUAUAAAGAGUCGAACCUGCCCAGUGAAAUUUUUAACGGCCGCGGUACUCUGACCGUGCAAAGGUAGCAUAAUCAUUUGCCUUAUAAUUGAAGGCUAGUAUGAAUGGUUUGACGAGAACAACACUGUCUCCUUUAUUAUUUUCAAGAAUUUAACUUUUAGGUGAAGAGGCCUAAAUUUUAUUGAAGGACAAGAAGACCCUGUCGAGCUUAAAAGACACCAUAGAAUCCUAUAUAUUUUUAAAUAAAUUUCUAUUAAGCUUUUUAGUUGGGGCGACUAAGGAACAAAAAAAGCUUCUUGCCAAAAUAAGACAAUCAUGUUUAGAUCCAGUAUAAAAGCUGAUCAAAGAAAUUAGUUACCGCAGGGAUAACAGCAUAAUCUCUCUUGAGAGACCUAAUCGAAAGAGGGGGUUGUGACCUCGAUGUUGGACUAGAAUAUCCUAAAGAUGUAGAAGUCUUUAAAGG